GACGUAUUAUAGUUUCACCUUGGCGGCGGGCGGGCUGGCGGCGUCCACUGCAGUGUCCGCUCUCUAAUUCAAAUAGUUUUCAUCCGAUCUUCACCAAACUUGGUCAGAAGUUUUAUCUAGACAAUAUCUAGGUCAAGUUCGAAUAUGGGUUAUGCCGGGUCAAAAACUAGGUCACAGGGUCACUUAGUGCAUUUCAAGCAAUUAGCAUGGUGUCCGCUCUCUAAUUGAAGUAGUUUUCAUCCGAUCUUCACCAAAUUUGGUCAGAAGUUGUGUCUAGACAAUAUCUAGGUCAAGUUCAAAUAUGGGUCAUGCCGGGUCAAAAACUAGAUCACGAGGUCACGUAGUGCAUUUCAAGCAUUUAGCAUGGUGUCCGCUCUCUAA